GAUGAACGCUGGCGGCGUGCCUAAUACAUGCAAGUCGAGCGAACAGAUGAGGAGCUUGCUCCUCUGACGUUAGCGGCGGACGGGUGAGUAACACGUGGAUAACCUACCUAUAAGACUGGGAUAACUUCGGGAAACCGGAGCUAAUACCGGAUAAUAUAUUGAACCGCAUGGUUCAAUAGUGAAAGACGGUUUUGCUGUCACUUAUAGAUGGAUCCGCGCCGCAUUAGCUAGUUGGUAAGGUAACGGCUUACCAAGGCAACGAUGCGUAGCCGACCUGAGAGGGUGAACCGCCACACUGGAACUGAGACACGUUCCCGACUCCUACAGGAGGCCGCAGCAGAGACUCUUCCGCAAUGGGCGAAAGCCUGACGGAGCGACGCCGCGUGAGUGAUGAAGGUCUUCGGCUCGUAAAACUCUGUUAUUCGGGAAGAACAAAUGUGUAAGUACCUAUGAACGUCUUGACGGUACCUAGUCAGAAAGCCACGGCUAACUACGUG
rnacentral:rRNA from 1 species